rnacentral:rRNA from 1 species
GCAUGCCUCAUACAUGCAAGUCGAACGAGGUCUUCGGACCUAGUGGCGCACGGGUGAGUAACAUGUGGGAAUCUACCUGAAGGUUCGGAAUAACUGCGGGAAACUGUAGCUAAUACCGGAUGUGUCUGCAAAGAGAAAGAUUUAUCGCCUUCAGAUGAGCCCGCACUAGAUUAGCUAGUUGGUGAGGUAAUUGCUCCACCAAGGCUACGAUCUAUAGCUGAUUUGAGAGGAUGAUCAGCCACACUGGGACUGAGACACGGCCCAGACUCCUACGGGAGGCAGCAGUAGGGAAUAUUGGACAAUGGGGGAAACCCUGAUCCAGCAAUGCCGCGUGAGUGAAGAAGGCCUUCGGGUUGUAAAGCUCUUUCAUCAAUGAUGAUAAUGACAUUAGUUGAAGAAGAAGCCCCGGCUAACUUCGUGCCAGCAGCCGCGGUAAUACGAAGGGGGCUAGCGUUGUUCGGAAUCACUGGGCGUAAAGCGUAUGUAGGCGGAUCAAAAAGUUAGAUGUGAAAUCCCUGGGCUCAACCCAGGAACUGCAUUUAAAACUAGUGAUCUAGAAUUUGGUAGGGGUUAGUAGAAUUUCCAGUGUAGAGGUGAAAUUCGUAGAUAUUGGAAAGAAUACCAGUGGCGAAGGCGACUAACUGGGCCAUUUUUGACGCUGAGAUACGAAAGCGUGGGUAGCAAACAGGAUUAGAUACCCUGGUAGUCCACGCAGUAAACGAUGAGUGCUAGUCGCUGGGACAAAAGUUUCAGUGUCGAAGCUAACGCAUUAAGCACUCCGCCUGGGAAGUACGGU